rnacentral:tRNA from 1 species
AGGUAUAUAAAAUAUUAGACUUCUAAUCUAAUUAUAAAUGAUUAAUAUAUCAUUAUAUACCUA